CUCUUGAAUACCUCAUCAACACCGCAGGUGACCCGGAGCCCGCUGCUCCGCUCGGCCCCGCCCCGGGCAGCUAUUUGGCACAUUUCAAUUAGCGUAACGGGUGCCUGGUAAACAGCCGAGGCCGGCUGCGGGCACCUGCAAUCCCCGACCCCCGACGCCCUCCCCGAGACCCUGGAGACGCGGCUCCGCCCCCACCGGUAAUUAGGAGAUUUUCAAGGCCUAUGUCCCCAAAGCCCAGCCCAGCUGGAGAGAUCAGCCCUGCGGUCCUGCCGCGCACUCCACCGCCAGCCUCUCGGGAGUCAAGGGAUCCGCCUUCAGGGUGAAUUGGGGUUCCACCAUGUCACCCUCAUGGAGCUUUCGUUAGCCUUGUUUGGGAUACAAAGGGGUAAGUGUCCCCUCAUUUUAGAGAAAGAUCAAGAGCCAGUGAACAGGAUUUCCCAGCCAGGGACAUGGAGCAGGGCACCUGCAGAUGGUCCACGUGCUCUUGGCUGAUGGCAGCCCACCUCCGGGAGGGGCCUGUGCACCUUUCUCCCAGGAGGAGGGAAGGACCCAAUCAUUAUCCAGAGUCAACGGCUGGAGUGCAAUGGCAUGAUUUCAGCACACCGCAACCUCCGCCUCCCGGGUCAAGUGAUUCUCCUGCCUCAGCCUCUCAAGUAGCUGGGAUUACAGGCAUGUGCCACCAAACCGGCUAAUUCUGUAUUUUCAGUAGAGACAGGGUUUCUCCAUGUUGGUCAGGCUGGUCUCGACCUCCUGACCUCAGGUGAUCCACCCGCCUCGGCCUCCCAAAGUGCUGGGAUUAUGGGUGUGAGCCACCACGCCUGGCCAAGUUUUUCAGGGCAGUGCUCCCACCUGGCCAAUCAGAAGCCCCCGGGAGCCACAUACCUCACCACCAGCCAUCUAAGCGUCUCUCCAUUGUGGGGCCCUCCCCAUAGACACUGAGCUCUUUGAGAAUGAGGAUGGCUAUGUUUACCACUGUAUCUCAAGGUUCAAGUCCAGGGCCACCCACAGGACUGGAGUUCAGCAACUCUUAGAACAGGUCUGAUCCUCACUCUCCCCUCCCUGCUCUGCUCCACCCAUGCUAGCCUCUUUCCUCCAUCUUGCACCUGCCUCAGGGCCUUUGCACAGGCUGUUCCUGCUGCCUGGAAGCUCAUCCUUUUGGCUCACUCCCUCACUUCCUGCCCAAAUGUCAUCUCCAUGAGAUCGCCCUGGAAACCCAGGACUACCUUCCCACCUUCCACACUCCCUUGCCCUCUUGCUAUAAUUUUCUCUAUGGCAUGUAUUAAAUAUUUGUUUAUUGUCUGUCUUCUGCCAACUGCAUUAUAAGCUCCCCGAGAGCAGGCACCUUCUUUUGUACACAGCUGUAUCUCCAGAGUGGUGCUUGCGGGCAGCAGGUUCUCAAUAAACUCGAUGAAUGAAUGAAUGAAUGACCAUCCCUGGCCAGGGAAGGAGCACAGGGCAUUGGGCCUAAUAGGGGAAACCUGUUCCCUUUAGACCCAGCUGGCACGCAGGGGCCAAGUGGCCUGAGUUUGGCACCAGGGAUUUCAUCCUCUCCCUCGGUAGCAAAUGGUCACCUGCUUCCAGGCCAUCCUGUUCCCUCUCUGCUGGUGGCCAUGGCUGCAGCAGCCCUCUCAGACUGAAGGCCCACUCUGAUCUUUGGGACCACACUCCUCCAGGUCCUCCCCAUGCUUUCCGGCUGUACCCUCAUCCUCAGGACGAACCUCCGCACCUCCUCCCAUCAUCUCAGGCCCCAUCUGCAAAGUUGGGAUCAGAGAGAGGCCCAGACUGCGCUGGACAACUGAGCCAGUUUUCAUUUCAAAUCGAAGUUUAAAAGAUGCCACUUUUAAUUAUGCUUGAGUGCAGUGUACCCUGAGGCCUUUUGUGGUAAAUGGCUCUCAAUAAUCCCAGUUUAUUCAUUAAUUAUUAUUAAUUAUUUUCUUAAGUAGUGGCAAGGGGACGCAGGGCCCCGCUCAGACCACAAGUCGCACAUCGACUGUCAAAUCCUCGAUGAGCAGGCUCUGAAGAGUUGCCUGUGCCGGCUGCAAUCUGGCUCGCCUGGGCCCGGGCUGGGGUGCCAGGAGCACUCUGGACUGAGGCGGGGCUUCCAGAGCGUGGGGCAGGGCUGGGGGAAAGGAGGGCCUGGAGGAGCCACAGGCCACACCGGACAAAAACACCUUCCACCAGGGUGGCACUUCACCUUCGGGAAGCUCCUUCACUGGAUAAUGAAGACUUUUGUCUUCAGCAAAGCGAGGAAGAAAAGAAUUACCAUUACCACCAGCCAAGGCACCUGACACAUGUGGUCAGUGGUGAACUGGUAAACUCGUUCUCCAGAAACAAAACAAUCAUCUCAAUCAUCUAACAUUUCUUUCCUCUUUUUUUUUUUUUUUUUUGAUACAGGAUCUUACUCUGUCACCCAGGCUGGAGUGCAGUGGCGCAAUCUUGGCUCACUGCAGCCUCAACCUUCCAGGCUCAAGUGAUCUUCCCACCUCAGCCUCUUAAGUACCUGGGACUACAGGCGCACACCACCAUACCUGCCUAAUUUUUGUAUUUUUUGUAGAGAUGGGGUUUCGCCAUGUUGCCCAAGCUGGUCUCAAACUCCUGAGCUCAAGUGAUCCUCCCACCUCGGUCUUGAGGCUUGAGCCACUGCACCUGGCCUACCAUUUCAUUAUUUAUGAUUCUAUAAUAUUCCACUGUAGGGGCAUACAGGUCCCUUAACUUCUCAGUUCCUUACUACUGGGCCAUUUCCCACUUUUCAUUAUUCUAAACAAAUUUGAUGAACAGGCUUUUGCAUAGGUAUCUACCCAUACCCUCAUUCACUUACCUAGGUGACAUUUCUAAAGGUGAAAUUAACUGAUCAAAGGACGUGUGUUUUUAAGGCUUUGAUGCACAUUACUUAACUUUAACUAAACUCAGGAAAAACGGUGAUAAAUUAUACCCCAAGGCCAGCACUUGGGAAGCUGAGAUGGGUGGAUCACUUGAGGUCAGGAGUUGGAGACCAGCCUGGCCAACAUGGUAAAACCCCAUCUCCACUAAAAAUACAAAAAUUAAUGGGUGUGUUGGCAUGUGUCUGUAAUCCCAGCUACUAGGGAGGCUGAGGCAAGGGAAUCGCUUGAACCCAGAAGGCGGAGGCUGCAGUGAGCCAAGAUCACAGCACUGCAUUCCAUCCUGGGCAAUAGAGUGAGACUCGGUCUCAAAAAAAAAAAAAAAAAAAUACACACACACACACACACACACCCCAAGGAUAGAUAUUUAUAGGGGAUCACACUGAUCUUUAUAUACGAGGUCUAGAACAAGGCAAAAUGCAAAUAAGAAAAAGUCCUGAAUUCUAGUACUUGCCAGUUUCCAUGGUGUAAUACUCCCAUCCUGGCCAGUAUGGAGAUACUAACAAUUUAACAACUGGCUUGCAAAAUUCCUGAAAAUCUAACAACCGUCUCUGGGAGCUCAUGGGAGCUGACCCUGGCACCUUAGUGUGUGUGAUGAGAUUUCCUCCUUCUCUGAAAGGAGGUCAUGGUAAUUUCAUCUGUCAACUUGACUGGGCCAUGGGGUGCUAAGGUGCUGGUCAAACAUUCUGGGUGUUUCUCUGAGAGUGUUUCUGGAUGAGAUUAACAUUUGAAGGCUUGGUGCAGUGGCUCAUGCCUGUAAUCCCAGCACUUUGGGAGGCCAAGGCGGCCAGAUCGCUUGAGCUGAGGAGUUCGAGACCAGCCUGGGCAACACGACAAACCCCAUCUCUACUAAAAAUACAACAAUUAGCUGGGCGUGGAGGCGCAUACCUGUAGUCCCAGCUACCUGGGAGGCUGAGGUGGGAGGAUCACUUGAGCCUAGGAAGUUGAGGCUGCAGUAAGCCGUGCUCACACCAGUGCACUCCAGCCUGGGCAACAGAGUGAGACCCUGUCUCAAAAAAAAAAAAAAAGAAGCGAAAGAGGGAGGCAGGAGAGUCAGCAUCAGAGGAAUGAGAUACAGGAAGGAGUCGACUGGUCAUUGCUGGCUCUAAAGAUGCAGGAAGGGGUCGAGAACCAGGGAGUGCAGGCAGCCUCUAGAAAACAGAAGAGGAAGAAAAUGGAUUCUCCCACAGAGCCUCCAGGAGGCAAGCAGGCAGCCCUGCCGACACAUUGAUUUUAGCCCAGUGAGGGCCGUUCCGGACUUCUGAUGUUCAGGACUAAGAUAUAUUGUGUUAUUUUAUGCCACUAAAUUUGUGGCCAUUUGUUUCCAAGACGGUGGUAUUGUCCCCAUUUAACCAGGUGAUGGAACAAAAUUUCAGAGACAUAAACUCUGUGGGUCACAGCUAGUGAUGGGGGCCCAAAACAGGGUUUGACCCCAGGGCUGUCUGACUCCAUGGCCCACGUUCUUUGUUGUAUCCCAGAAGAGAAGCCACUGUUUACACGAAAGCACCUCUGGGAAGGUUAACAACUUCGUCCUGUGUCAGGCACGGGAACUGCGUAGCCUUUCUUCAUGAAACACCAGAAAAUAAAAGAAACCGGCCGGACACGGUGGCUCUGUCACCCUAGGACUUUGGGAGGCCAAGGCGGGCAGAUCAGUUGAGGUCAGGAGUGUGAGAUCAGCAUGGACAACAUGGCAAAACCCUGUCUCUACUAAAAAUACAAAAAAAAAAAAAUAGCCAGGAGUGGUGGUGGGUGCCUGUAACCCCAGCUACGCGACAGGCUGAGGCAGGAGAAUUGCUUGAACCCAGGAGGUGGAGGUUGCAGUGAUCCAGGAUCGCGCCACUGCCCUCCAGCCUGGGUGACAGAGCACAAGACUCAGUCAAGAGAAGAGAAGAAAAGCGGAGGGGAGGAGAGGGGGAGAAGAAGAGAAAGGAAAGGGAAGAAGAGAAAGGAAGGAAAGGAAAGGAAAGGAACAACCACAAGCAUCCACAUCCAGCUUAAGGCAGAGAUGAGUUUGCAGGAAGGAGGGGAAGCCCAAGGGCCGGAGUGAACCAGGAGCUGAAAACCAGACGGUGGCUGCGUGAGUGUGGCCAGCGCAGGCCGAGGCUUCCUGGUCCUGGGGUCCAGGGCUUGGACUCUGACUCCUCCACGGAGAUGAGAGGUGUGGCCUGGGGGAUGGACAUGCAGAAUCGAGACCCCUGCAUAAAGCCAGGCCCCUUCAGUUCUGCGGUCUCCGUGGAAGGACAGAGCAAAAACACCCAUCCCCAGCACAGGGAGAUUGGGAGAGGGUCUGUCACUAUGGGAGAAGGAAGAUCAGAGAUAUUGGCAGAGCGGUCUCCAGAACUGAUUAAAAUCAGGCACCAGCAGAUUCAGGAAGCCCACUUGAGUCCUCAGCAGGCCCCAGCCCUGGACACAGGGGCUCAGGACACAGCCACUACUAGACAGGAGACUGUACCCUCCGGGCCUAGUGCCUUACCAAGCACUGCUCCUGGGAGAAUGUUUGCUGAACGGAUGGUGAUGGGGAGAGGGAAAAGAGAGGGGAAAGUGAGGGUGUCUAAGUCCAGCUUGAGACAAGGCCGGGGGAUUCAUAGUCUCCACCCACCCUCUGCCUUCAGAGGUCCAAGGAUGGGGUGGGCACCAGCAUGGGGCUGGGGGAGCCAUGGGGGCCAGGGGUAUCUGCUGUGGGCUCAAGGAGCCCUCCCAGGGCUCAGACCCCAGCCUGAAACUCUCCCAGCACUCCAAAAGCCAAAUCCCACCCAGCUCUGGGCUGCUUCAUGGGGCCCCAGACUGGAGAAGACACCCCACGAAGGGUCUCUAAGGAAGAGGCGCUGGUGGUCAGGCCUGGGCAGCUGUGGGAGCUGAGAGUUUAAUGGGGAGAACGUGCUCUGUUGGCUUCACGCUCCAACAUCAGGGGGAACCAGCUGCACCGUUUCCCCAGAAUCACGGUCUCUUGAGCCCAAUAUUCAAAUAUAUGCAGACGUCGGAGCCUGGACUAUUUUUAGCUGAGACUCAGAGGGAGAUGAUCUCAGGCUGACUCGGAGAGUGGCCCAGUCCCAGAGGAGCGCAGAAUCAACCUGAAAAGUCAGGCUUGGGGACCACCCCCUUCUCCUGCUGUAAGCGCCUGGAUUCUGCACCCCAGGUGCCCUGAAGGUCUGUGUUGUGGGUGUUUAUUUGGGGCGGAGGGACUGGUCUGCAUCCCUGGGGAGCUGUGUUCUCUUUCCUUCGAUGCCUUUUUUCAGCAAACACUUUGCUUUUCUGCGAAAAGACAAAGCGGGCUGCAUGCUGGAGCCAGCGGCCUGGCUAGGGGGCCGUUUACCUCCCGACUCGGGAUGCGUGGCUCAGCCUCUUAUUAUCUUGAAAGGCAGCAGAAGUCUGACCCCUUCUGUGUGAGCUUCCCAUGGCUGUUAUAGUCACUUACCACCGGCUGUGGCUUAAAACCGCGGGAGCGUAUUUCCUCACAGUUCUAGAGGCCAGAAGUCCAGCAUCAGGGUGCCAGCAGGGCCGUAUUCCCUCUGAAGGCGCCAGAGAAGGGUCCAUCUUUGCCCUCCCAGCUUCCGGCGGUCACCAGCAGGCCUUAGUGUUUGCUGGCGCAGCUGCAUGGCUCUGAUCUCUGCCUCUGUCUUCACAGGGAUUUCUUCCCUGUGUGUCCCCGGGUCCUCUUCUGAUAAGGACACCAGUCAUUGGACUUAAGGCCUCUGCUAAUCCAGUCUGGCCUCAUCUCAAAUUGAAGAACAUCUGCACACACCCUAUUUCCAAGUAAGAUCCUAUUCACAGGCACCAGGGGUGCCUUCAAUGCAUCUUUUGGGGGGAACACAAUUCAACCCACAGCAUCUUCUGUGUUGUUCUGCCCAAGGACAGCCACCCCCCAGCAGCCGCGGUGAGAAGUUCCCCCAGGUUUGGGGUUUCCAAUCUUGGGUGGCGGCAGGCUGGGAGCCAGGGACCGCUUGAGCCUUACUGUGCUCUCCUGCUAGGAGGGGCGGCAGCUCCUUGCCCCUGGAGACAGCGCGGCUCCCCAGAGCAGCUGAGUGUCUUGCAGUCAUCAACAGCCACCUCAUCUCAGAGGCAGCACCUGGAAUCUUACCUGCCUCACCUCCUUUAGUCCUCAAAACACCUGUGUCCCAGGAUUAUGUCCCUUAUUCUACAGAGGAGGAAGCUGAAGUGCAAACUAAGAGGAAGUUCCGAAGCAGCAGGUUGGGGUGCCAGGUGCCAGCCUGGGGAGGGGUGGUCACCUGGCAGGGCGGUGGUGAGGCCGGCCCGUGCCUGCCCUUCCCUCCACUGUUCAGAGUUGGGCCAGGGCUGAAGGAGGCGUGGCCAGCUUCAGAGGAAGGUGUGGGAGCCGCAGCUCUGCCUGGCACUGACAUCUGGGCUGCAAAUUCUUUCUAAUUCUCAACUUCUCCCCCACUACUGCCAGCCAGCCCCUUCAGCUUCAUUUAAAAGUUCAGACAGGAUUCAAAAGUAGGUUGAUAUAUAAAGACCUAUUAAAACUCAAUACUAAGAAAACAACUCAAUUAAAAAAUGGGCAAAAGACCUGAACAGACACUUCGCCAAAGACGAUACACAGAUGGCAAAUAUAUAUGUCACGUCAUAUGUCAUCAGGGAAAUGCAAAUUAAAACAGCAAUGAGAUACCACUGCACAUCUAUCAGAAUGGCCCAAAUCCAAAACACUGACAACCCCAAAUGCUGGUGAGGCUGUGGAGCAACAGGAAUUCUCAUUCAGGGCUGGUAAUACAAAAUGCUAUAGCCACUUGGGAAGACAGCUUGGCAGUUUCUUACAAAGCUAAACAUACUUUUACCAUACGAUCCAGCAAUCGUGUUCCUUGGCAUUUACCCGAAUUAGUUGUUGGAAAUUGUGUCCAGGAGCUUCUGGACAGCUGAACAUGUGGAGGUUCCUGGGAGGUGGCCGUCCAGGGAGGGCACGGAAGUUCCGUGUCCUCCGCCCCCUUCAUACCUCACCCUACGCAUCUCUUCAUCUCUACUCUUUGUAAAAUCCUUUACAAUAAACCGGUAAACCUAAGUAUGGCCAUGUGACUAAGCUCUGGCCAAUGGAGCACAAUCAGAAGCAGCAUGAGCUGACUCCCCCUCUCCUUUUUCUCUUUCAUUGGAUGGAAUGAGGCCUUAGAGGGGACCCAUCUUGGACCGGAUGAGGACAACAGUCCAGAAAUGCUGGAAGACCAAGCUGCAUCUUUGGCAGAUUAUAUUUUCCAAAGAUAGAGGCAACACUAUAUCCCAUUCCACGAGCACUUCUUCUGCUGUGACUUUGACACCCCUCCCAUUGAGGGGUGGCAUCUAUGUCCCCUCCUCAUGAGCUGCAGCAGGAGGAGCUUUGUGACUCUCUUGACCAAUAGAGUAUGCCAGCAUUGACAGCAUGUGGCUUCCAAGGCUAGUUCAAAAAAAUGCCUUUCACUUCCACCUUAUUCUCCUGGGAUGUUCACUCUUGGAACCCAGCCACCAUGCUGCACGGAAGCACAAGAGUCCUUGGAAAGGCCUACAUGGAUGGGAACCAUGGCCCCCAGCCCAAAUCCCCUGCUGAGCUCCCCAGCCGACAGCACCAACUUGCCAGCCACAUGAGUGAGCUGUCCUGGAAGUGAUUCUCCAGCCUUGGGGCAAGCCACCUCAGCUGAUGCCAUGUGAAGCAGAGACAAAUUACCUCCACCAGGCCCUGCCCAAAUUGCAGAUCUGUGAGCAAAACAAAUGACUGUGACUGUUAUAAGCAGAAAAGAAAAUAGAAAAGAAAAUGGAUUCCACUCAAAAACUUGGAAGUGAACAUUUAUAGCAGCUUUAUUCAGAACUGCCAAAACUUGGAGGCAACCAAGAUGUCCUUCAGUAGGUGAAUUUGUAAACAAACUGUGAUCCAUCCAGACAAUGGAAUAUUAUUCAGUGCUAAAUGGAAAUGAGGCACCGGGCCACGAGAAGAUGCAGAGGAAUGUUAGAUGCAUGUUACGAGGUACUAGGGGGAAAGGAGCCAAUCUGAGAAGGCUACAAACUGUAGGGCUCCAACUACCUGAUGAUCUGGAAAAGGUGAGACUACGGAGAUGGUCGGAAGAUCAUGGUUUUCCAGGGUUAGGAGGAGGCAGAGAUGUACAGGGGUAGCACAGAGGAUUUUUAGGGCAAUGGAACCACUCUGUAUGGUGCCAUAAUAGUGGAUACAUCUCAUUAAAGAUUUGUCAAAACACGUAGAAUACACGGCACCAGGAGUGAGCCCUAAUGUGAACUGUGUUUGGUUGAUGAUACGUCAGUGUAGGCUCAUAGAUUGGAACACAUGGACCACUCUGGUAGGGGAUGUGGAUGGUGGGGGUGGCCUGUGUAUGUGGGGGAGGUGGCAUAUGGGAAAUCUACUUUCCACCCAACUUUGCUGUGAACAUAAAACUGCUCAAAAAAAUAGUCUUUUUUUUUUUUUUUGGAGACAGGGCCUCACUCUCACUCAGGCUAGAGGGCGGUGGUGCGGCAUGAUCACAGCUCACUGCAGCCUGGACCUCCCGGGCUCAAGUGAUCAAGCGAUCCUCCCACCUCAGUCUCCCAAGUAGCUGAGACCACCGGCACUUGCCACACUAGCUAAUUUUUAAAUAAUUUUUGUAGGCCGGGCGCCCUGGGUCGUGCCUGUAAUCCUAGCACUGGGAGGCCGAGGUGGGUGGAUCACCUAAGGUCAGGAGUUUGAAACCAGUCUGGUUAACAUGGCGAAACCCUGUCUCUACUAAAAAUACAAAAAUUAGCUGGGCGUGGUAGCAGGUGCCUGUAAUCCCAGUAAUCCCAGCUACUCGGGAGGCUGAGGCAGGAGAAUUGCUUGAACCUGGGAGGCGGGGGUUGCAGUGAGCCAAGAUCACACCACUGUACUCCAGCCUGGAUGACAGACUCCAUCUCAAAAAAAUAAAAAUAAUAACAAUUUUUGUAGAGAUGGGUUCUUGCCAUGUUGCUUGAACUCCUGGGCUUAAGUGAUCCUUCUACCUCAGAUUCUUCCACCUUGGCCUCCAAAAACGCUGAGACAACAGGCGUGAACCACCGCACCUGGCCUUUUUUUUCUUUUUUCCCCUAACUAGGCUCAGUUCCUAAAAGAAGGCCUUGGUCAGGUUUCUGAGCCCUACCCCCCUCCUGCUGGACAAGAUCAUGGAAAAUGCCUGGCUCAGCUAUUCUUUUCUCAGCCUCUUUUAAGCAGCAUAGCAGAGAGGGACAGAGGUAGAGACAGAGAGGGACUGAGAUCUGGGCUCUUCCUCCAGCUGUACGAUAUGGACCAGGCCCCUGUUCUCUUCGGGCCUCCAUCUGUAAAAUGAGGGGACAGGAGGAAUUCUGAUGGCCUGUGGCUUUGAUCUCUGUGAGCAGAUUUGGUUGUAUGAGGUCUCUCCCCUGGCAUUACAUGCUGGAACAGAAGAAAAUGGCCAUAGUCACUGUUAAUUAAAAACUGGUACCAAGUUAUUGGUACUCUCACGUUUGAAAUACCUACUAGUACCUGCUUGGUCUAGACCAGCUGUUCUCAAAGUAUGGGCCCUGGCCCCCUGUAGUAGUAGCAGCAGCACCCAGAGGUUUUUUCUGUUUUUGUUUUUGUUUAGAGAGAUGAGGUCUGUGUUACCCAGGCUGGUCUCUAACUCAAGCAUCGGCCUCCCAAGUGCUGGGAUUACAGGUGUGAGCCACCAUGCCUGGCCUUUUUCUUUCUUUUUCUUUUUUCUUUUUUUUUUUUUUUGAGACAAGGUCUUGCUCUUUGCCCAAGCUACAGUGCAGUGGCACAAUCAUGGUUCACUGCAGCCUCAAACUCCUAGGCUCAAACCAUCCUCCCACCUCAGCCUCCCGAGUAGCUGGGAACACAGGCGCAUGCCACAAACCUUGGCCUUUUUUUUUUUUUUUUUGUAGAAACGAGGUCUCAUUACGUUGCCCAAGCUCGUCUCAGACUCCUGGGCUCAAGCAAGCCUCCCGCCCACCUGGAGCUUAUUAAAGACUCAAAUCCCAGGGCCCAACCCCAGAUCUGCUGAAUCAGAAACUCCGCAGGUGGGGGCCAGCAACAUGUGUUUCAGUAAGCUCAGGAAUCAGGUGAUUCUGAUGCAUGCCAAAAUUUUAGAACCACUGGCCUGGAACAGGGUGUGUGAAGCUUGGCGCUGCUGAUGCUCCAGGCCAGAUCAUCCUACGUGGUAUGGCUGUCCUGUGCACUGGAGGAUGCUGCCAGCAUCCUUGGACUCUACCCCACUGGAGGCCAAUAGCAUGCCACCCCUGUCUCAAGUCACAACAAUCCAAAACAGUGCCAGCUGUCCUCCAGGGAACAAAACUGCCCCAGUGGAGAACCCUUGGUGGGAAGGAAGGCCCUGAUUGUGCAGUGACUCAAAUACAGGAUCACAUAAAACCUGGAGCGAAGGCCUGGCGCAGUGGCUCAUGCCUGUAAUCCCAGCACUUUUGGUGGCCGAGGUGAGUGGAUCACCUGACGUCCGGAGUUUGAGACCAGCCUGGCUAACAUGGUGAAACCCCGUCUCUACUAAAAAUACAAAAAGUAGCCGGGUGUGGUGGCACACGCCUGUAGUCCCAGCUACUCGGGAGCCUGAGGCAGGAGAAUCGCUUGAACCCAGUAGGCAGAGGUUACAGUGAGCCGAGAUUGUGCUACUGCACUCCAGCCUGGGUGACAAAGCGAGACUCCGUCUCAAAAAAAAAAAAAAAAAAAAGCCUGGAGCGAAGACGUGCAUGCAGGGUCACCAUGCCAGGCUGUCACUCUAUCCAGCCAUUUGCUCCUCACCAUGACUUGAAAAUGAUCCCCAUUUUAUAGCAAAUCCCACCUCCCUGCUUACAAGCUGUGUGACCUCGGGCAAGUUACUUGAACUCUCUGUGCCUCUCGCUGUAAAAUGGAAAUAUUAACAUAAUAGUACUUACCUGCUAGGGUAGCUGAGUGCUUGAAAUGACAACUCAAGCAUGGAACAAACUCUCAGCCCAGUGCCCGAGGAGGUAAACACCGGCUCAUUUUCUCAUUAUGUGGCUCAGGCUCUUAGCAAAAUGGAUUUGUGUUCUCUGACCUCGUGCGGCCACUGUCACAGCCAGCUGGAGGUAGGCAGAGGCCAGCCUGAGGUGAACAUGACUGAGUUCACCACUGCUUGUCAGGGUGCCUGCAGUCACGGCUCUGGGGCAGCCAGGAGAUGACCCUGGGUCACUGCCACCAGCAGGGACUUCCUUUGGGCGGCUUGGAGCAGACAGCACCCAGCUCUGCAGACCUGAGCACCCCAUGUGCCCCAAGUGACAUGGAGCAGAACCCGGGGACCCCGGCUGUCUGCCCUCCACCCUGGGCGAGCUCCGGAUGCCGCAGGAAAAGACGAGAAUCCAGCACAGUUCCUCUUCUGCACCUCACAUCCCAAUAAAAUAUUUAUUAUUUCAAGAAAUAAAUCUUUAAAAAAAAGAGAGAAAAAGAGUGUCUCUAUUGCUUUCCC
rnacentral:lncRNA from 1 species